rnacentral:rRNA from 1 species
CUACGGGUGGCAGCAGUGAGGAAUAUUGCACAAUGGGGGGAACUCUGAUGCAGCAACGCCGCGUGGAGGAUGACACUUUUCGGAGCGUAAACUCCUUUUAUAUAGGAAGAAGAUGACGGUACUAUAUGAAUAAGCGCCGGCUAACUCCGUGCCAGCAGCCGCGGUAAUACGGAGGGCGCAAGCGUUACUCGGAAUCACUGGGCGUAAAGAGCGUGUAGGCGGAUUAAAAAGUCAGAAGUGAAAUCCUAUAGCUUAACUAUAGAACUGCUUCUGAAACUCUUAAUCUAGAAUAUGGGAGAGGUAGAUGGAACUUCUGGUGUAGGGGUAAAAUCCGUAGAGAUCAGAAGGAAUACCGAUUGCGAAGGCGAUCUACUAGAACAUUAUUGACGCUGAGACGCGAAAGCGUGGGGAGCAAACAGGAUUAGAUACCCCUGUAGUC